UAGUGGCGAACGAAAAGGAAUGAGCCCAGCGCAGAACGUUCCGGGGCACUCGCCCUGAGAAUGAAUGUUGCGUUAAGGAUAUUGGCAUACACCCAUGGCAGUUACACUUUGCUAAGUCAGCCUCGAAUGGUUCUCGUGAAGCCGGUAACACGGUGAGACUCCAGGGAGGGUGUUAGACCCGUGUGAAGGUGCAAUCUGCUUGGGCAAGCCGAUAUCCCGAGAGUCGCGUUGUUUGAACAUGCAGCGCUAAGCAGGUCGUAGACUCGAUCUAAGGCUAAAUAUGUCCACAGAACCGAUAGUUAACAAGUACCGUGAGGGAAAGUUGAAAAGCACUCCGUAACGGAGAGUCAAAAGACCGUGAAACCACUCAGAGUAUAAGCCAAUGGUGUCUGGAAGGUCCUGUGCUUACAUCUUGGUGUCAAGGACUCAUGCGAACCUCAGCACUUGCGGGAGCAAUCUCCGUUGCUUUGGUAAGCUUGUCCGCUGAAGCACUCCGUUGACCCACCUGGCUCGUUGUGAGGUGUCCUGAGAGCAAAGCGAAGUGUUAAGAUUGGCUUGGAGUUGGGCGUGGGCGUCUCGAUGCCUUUCGCACUCUCCUUUUCGAGCACUUCUUCAGUUCUAUUCGCACAAAGUGUGGUAGUCUUGGAGUGUGCGCUGCUUGACGCUCUCUGGAACCAUCCUCUGCGACGAAGCUUCAAUGCCUUAGUGAGCGGCCGUCUUCCUCCUCGGGAGUCGGUACAUUGGCGCGGCUUGCACACUGUCGGUGCUCCGCUGUUCAACUCUGGCGCAAGGUGUUACGUCCGAUACCAUUGGUCACGUCUCGAAACACGGGCCAAGGAGUAUAGCGUGUGUGCAAGUCUAAGGGUUCCACAAAACCUGGAGGCGUAGUGAAAGCGAGUUAUGGUGUCUCACUGGACUGAUGGAGAAGGCAGUGAUGCGUGAUCCCGCAAGUCCCGGACUCGUCGUCUGCACUGCUUCGGUUGUGUUAGCGCGAGCACCGCAGAGCACAUACGCUAUGACCCGAAAGAUAGUGAACUAUGCUUGGCGAGGGUGAAGCCCCAGGAAACUGGGGUGGAGGCCCGUAGCCGUUGUGACGUGCAAAUCC
rnacentral:rRNA from 1 species